ACUCCUACGGGAGGCAGCAGUGGGGAAUUUUGGACAAUGGGCGAAAGCCUGAUCCAGCCAUGCCGCGUGCAGGAUGAAGGCCUUCGGGUUGUAAACUGCUUUUGUACGGAACGAAACGGCCUUUUCUAAUAAAGAGGGCUAAUGACUGUACCGUAAGAAUAAGCACCGGCUAACUACGUGCCAGCAGCCGCGGUAAUACGUAGGGUGCAAGCGUUAAUCGGAAUUACUGGGCGUAAAGCGUGCGCAGGCGGUUAUGUAAGACAGUUGUGAAAUCCCCGGGCUCAACCUGGGAACUGCAUCUGUGACUGCAUAGCUAGAGUACGGUAGAGGGGGAUGGAAUUCCGCGUGUAGCAGUGAAAUGCGUAGAUAUGCGGAGGAACACCGAUGGCGAAGGCAAUCCCCUGGACCUGUACUGACGCUCAUGCACGAAAGCGUGGGGAGCAAACAGGAUUAGAAACCCUUGUAGUCCCAUGA
rnacentral:rRNA from 1 species